GAUGAAGAACGUAGCGAAAUGCGAUAAGUAAUGCGAAUUGCAGAAUUUCCGUGAGUCAUCGAAUCUUUGAACGCACAUUGCGCCCUGUGGUAUUCCGCAGGGCAUGCCUGUUCGAGCGUCAUUUCAACCCUCAAGCCCCGCUUGGUGUUGGGCCCCGCCCGCUGUGGCCGGCCCUAAAGACAGUGGCGGCGCCGCCUGGCCCUCAGCGUAGUACAUCUCUCGCUCCAGGGUCCGGUGGCCGCCUGCCAGAACACCCCAACUCUGUGGUUGACCUCGGAUCAGGUAGGGAUACCCGCUGAACUUAAGCAUAUCAAUAAGCGGAGGA
rnacentral:misc_RNA from 1 species